rnacentral:snRNA from 1 species
GUGCUCGCUUCGGCAGCACAUAUACUAAAAUUGGAACAAUACAGCAAAGAUUAGCAUGGCCCCUGUGCAAGGAUGACAUGCAAAUUCGUGAAGCGUUCCACAUUUUU